UUGGUGGCGACCGGCGCACGGGUGAGUAACGCGUAUGCAACCCACCUAUCAGAGGGGAAUAACCCGGCGAAAGUCGGACUAAUACCGCAUAAAACAGGGACACCGCAUGGUGAUAUUUGUUAAAGAAAUCCGCUGAUAGAUGGGCAUGCGUUCCAUUAGGUAGUUGGUGAGGUAACGGCUCACCAAGCCGACGAUGGAUAGGGGAACUGAGAGGUUGGUCCCCCACACUGGUACUGAGACACGGACCAGACUCCUACGGGAGGCAGCAGUGAGGAAUAUUGGUCAAUGGGCGAGAGCCUGAACCAGCCAAGUCGCGUGAAGGAAGAAGGAUCUAUGGUUCGUAAACUUCUUUUGCAGGGGAAUAAAGUGCAGGACGUGUCCUGUUUUGUAUGUACCCUGAGAAUAAGGAUCGGCUAACUCCGUGCCAGCAGCCGCGGUAAUACGGAGGAUCCGAGCGUUAUCCGGAUUUAUUGGGUUUAAAGGGUGCGUAGGUGGUUUGAUAAGUCAGCGGUGAAAGUUUGCAGCUUAACUGUAAAAAUGCCGUUGAAACUGUCGGACUUGAGUGUAAAUGAGGUAGGCGGAAUGCGUGGUGUAGCGGUGAAAUGCUUAGAUAUCACGAAGAACUCCGAUUG
rnacentral:rRNA from 1 species